AUUAAUAUGUUUGAAAGGUACAGGGCACAGGGAGACAAUUAAAUACAAGAUUUGGGCCAUCCACUCUGAACUGCAUAGCAUUACUAAUAAAUAUGAUAAAAGAAACUUUCAUCAAGUUAAGAAUGUGGCAUUUGAAACACGUUGCUGCCUCAUUGGUGGGUUUACUUCCUUCUUUCUUUGUAAAGCUUCACAGUAAGUGGCCCAGUGUGAAACUGGAACUCGGUAUGGGGAAAGAGGACGGGUGGAGGAACGGUCAUGUUAUUAAGUUAUUGCAAAUGUAGUGACUGGUGAUUUCACACGUACGCAUUCCACAUUACAGGAAGCUCACACAUAUAAGAAACCAUGCCCUGUUGGCCCCUUACCACCAGAUUUUCCAUUGCCUAUCUCUAAAAUCUAAUGCUUGUUUUUUUUUUUAUCAUGUCAGUUUGCUUUUCUAUAGCAAAGAAGGAAUGCGGUCAUAUGAAUUUCAAGGAUAAGAAAGCAAUCUACAUGCAUCCAGCAAAUCUAAAGGACAAAAGAAUUUUUUUCAGUCACUUGAAGCAUGGGAUGAAACGGACUGAGUUGUUACAGAGCAGAACCAAAGGCACGGAGGCAGAUGCAGAUUGGGAGCUGCUCUGAGGCAGGAGCAGAGCUGUGGAAGGCGGGAGGAGGCCUCGCUGGGGCCUGUGGAACACAAGCAAGAUGGAGCCUCCUCCCUCAGUUUCUGCCAGGUGAGGGUCCAGGGCUGUGACCAGGAGUUUGGCAAGUUCUGGUCUUGUGGUUAACGCCAACUCUGGGGGUCCGCCUUCACUUGUUCAGUGUCCAUUUCACAGCAGAUCAGUCAAGGCUUAAUGUCACCCACAACUCUGAUUUUCACUAAAAGACAAGGAGCUCUUAACAUCACAGGGAAAAAAACCCCCAAACAAACCAAGUAACAGUCUCAUGGUGCGCUAGGGAGAGAGACCGCCAGCAGCCCCUCUCAGAGAUGGCUGCGGGGGUCCCAGCUCUCUCAGCUUGUGAAACGCCCCCUCUUCUCAUCUUUCUCUGCAAAGCUCUCUCCCAUUCCCCUCAGGAAGAACAAAGAUUAUCCCUCUUGUCUUAUACAGAGCACUGGGUCUGCCCCCUGGUCUUGGGGGCUCACCACACCCUAGUACCUUUAAUAUUCUGUAUUUC
rnacentral:lncRNA from 1 species